rnacentral:rRNA from 1 species
UACAGAGGGUGCGAGCGUUGUUCGGAAUUAUUGGGCGUAAAGGGCGCGUAGGUGGCGCGGGAAGUCUUCGGUGAAAGCUCAGGGCUCAACCCUGAGUCGGCCGGCGAUACUCCCGUGCUCGAGCUCACUAGAGGCAGAUGGAAUUCCGGGUGUAGCGGUGGAAUGCGUAGAGAUCCGGAAGAACACCGGUGGCGAAGGCGGUCUGCUGGGGUGAUGCUGACACUGAUGCGCGACAGCGUGGGGAGCAAACAGG